rnacentral:rRNA from 1 species
UACGAAGGGGGCUAGCGUUGUUCGGAAUCACUGGGCGUAAAGCGCACGUAGGCGGAUCUUUAAGUCAGGGGUGAAAUCCUGGAGCUCAACUCCAGAACUGCCCUUGAUACUGGCGAUCUCGAGUUCGGGAGAGGUGAGUGGAACUGCGAGUGUAGAGGUGAAAUUCGUAGAUAUUCGCAAGAACACCAGUGGCGAAGGCGGCUCACUGGCCCGAUAUUGACGCUGAGGUGCGAAAGCGUGGGGAGCAAACAGG